UACGAAGGGGGCGAGCGUUGUUCGGAAUUACUGGGCGUAAAGGGCGCGUAGGCGGCCAGGUAGGUCUGCUGUGAAACCUCCAGGCUCAACCUGGAGACGCCACUUGAUACUGCUGUGACUGGAGUCCGGUAGGGGAGCGUGGAAUUCCUGGUGUAGCGGUGAAAUGCGCAGAUAUCAGGAGGAACACCAGCGGCGAAGGCGGCGCUCUGGGCCGGUACUGACACUGAGGAGCGAAAGCGUGGGUAGCAAACAGG
rnacentral:rRNA from 1 species